rnacentral:lncRNA from 1 species
AUGGCUAUGGAGGUGUAAGGUUUCCGGAGUGGGUAGGAAAGUCCUCUUUCUCGAAUAUAGUGUCUUUGAGGCUCAGUAGAUGUACAAACUGCACCUUCUUACCACCGCUCGGGCAAUUAGCUUCUUUAGAGCGUCUCUCAAUUGAAGCAUUCGAUAAAGUUGAGAUUGUGGGGUCUGAGUUCUAUGGGAAUUGUACUGCUAUGAAGAAGCCAUUUGAAUCCCUCAAAACAUUACGGUUUGAAGGAAUGCCAGAGUGGCGCGAGUGGAUUUCAGACGAAGGCAGCCGGGAAGGCUUCCCUCUUCUAGAGGAGCUUUUAAUCCAAGAAUGCCCGAACCUUGCAAAGGCCCUACCAUGUCACCACCUUCCACGUGUAACAAGUCUUACAAUUCGUGGAUGUAAGCAGCUCGCGACUCCACUUCCUAGGUUUCCGGAGUGGGUAGGAGAGUCCUAUUUGUCAAAUAUAGUGUCCUUGAAGCUCAUUAGAUGUACAAACAGCACCUCCUUACCACCGCUCGGGCAAUUAGCUUCUUUAGAGCGUCUCUCAAUUGAAGCAUUCGAUAAAGUUGAGAUUGUGGGCUCUGAGUUAUAUGGGAAUUGUACUGCUUUGAAGAAGCCAUUUGAAUCCCUCAAAACAUUA